rnacentral:rRNA from 1 species
UUCUUUAAGAAAGUAAAUUAAAGUAAGACCUGCUCAAUGACAAGUAUAAAUAGCCGCAGAACCUCUGUGCUAAGGUAGCAUAAUAAUUUGCUUCCUAAUUAGAAGAUAGAAUGAAAGGUUACACACCAAACACAUGUUUCUACCAACUACAAUAAACCUAAGAAAAAAGUAAAAACUCUUUUUUAAUAAAGCGGGACGACAAGACCCUUAUAAACUUAUCAUUUAGUUGGGGAAACAAAGUAAUAAAUAUUUAUUAGACAGAAACACACAACUUUUUCAAAAAUAAAGAAUAGUUACUAAAGGGAUAACAGCGCUAUUUCUUUUUAAAGUCCUUAUUUGAAAAGAAGAUUGCGACCUCGAUGUUGAAUUAAUUUUCCUGUUAGGUGCAAAAGCUUAAUAAGGUAGUCUGUUCGACUAUUAAAAAAUU